GGGUUGUGAGGUUAAGCGACUAAGCGUACACGGUGGAUGCCCUGGCAGUCAGAGGCGAUGAAGGACGUGCUAAUCUGCGAUAAGCGUCGGUAAGGUGAUAUGAACCGUUAUAACCGGCGAUUUCCGAAUGGGGAAACCCAGUGUGAUUCRUCACACUAUCAUUACGUGAAUACAUAGCGUAAUGAAGCGAACCGGGGGAACUGAAACAUCUAAGUACCCCGAGGAAAAGAAAUCAACCGAGAUUCCCCCAGUAGCGGCGAGCGAACGG
rnacentral:rRNA from 1 species